CCUACGGGUGGCAGCAGUGGGGAAUAUUGUACAAUGGGGGAAACCCUGAUGCAGCGACGCCGCGUGAGCGAUGAAGUAUUUCGGUAUGUAAAGCUCUAUCAGCAGGGAAGAAAAUGACGGUACCUGACUAAGAAGCCCCGGCUAACUACGUGCCAGCAGCCGCGGUAAUACGGAGGGGGCAAGCGUUAUCCGGAUUUACUGGGUGUAAGGGGAGCGUAGACGGCGGUGCAAGCCAGAUGUGAAAGCCCUGGGCUCAACCCGGGGACUGCCUGUGGAACUGUGCUGCUAGAGUGUCGGAGAGGCAGGCGGAAUUCCUGGUGUAGCGGUGAAAUGCGUAGAUAUUAGGAGGAACACCAGUGGCGAAGGCGGCCUGCUGGACGAUGACUGACGUUGAGACUCGAAAGCGUGGGGAGCAAACAGGAUUAGAUACCCUGGUAGUC
rnacentral:rRNA from 1 species